GAAUAAGGCAACAUGGUUCUUCUUAGACCAUUGAUGACUUAGGCUGCUAAUUGAGAUGAUAAGACAUGUACAGAAAAUCAAGAAACAGAAGGUGGAUCUUAAACUUGUCAUCUUUAAAUUGCUGUUUUCUUUUUUUUUUUUUUAUCUGAUCUUUAAAUUGCUAUUGAUGAUAGGAUUCUUGAACUUGUGACAGAAGUGAACACUACCCUUUCAAUGAACCAGGAGCUUAACCAAGAAAUAAUGAUUAAUUAAAUAAUUAAUUAAUUGUACAGUUGUCAACCUGAAUUUCUUUAAUUUCUUUAUUCUUGGAGCUGGAGCCUGGAGCUGUUUCAAUGAAUAAAGAUAUUUGUUUAAUAAUAGUACACCCCACCACUAGGCUUUAUAAGUUGGACCAAACAAAACAACAAUCCCAACUAGUACCCACUCAACUAAAAAAUGGUAACAUAUCAUGUCAAUUGAAGUGCAUUAUUUUCUUUUUUCAGAAGGAACACUAUGGCUAUUUUCAACUAUGCCUCAAUUAGUGUUUCAAGAUUGUAAGGCCUUGCGAGUUCAGAAUUUCCACUCCACAUGAGCUUGGCAAUUUGAUUGUUGAACUUCUCCGUGGGAUGACUAGCAUCAAAGAACAAAUAUUCACCAGGAUUCUUACACAGUUCGUACUCUUUUGUUGCUCCCAUCCCAUUUCGACCACAGGCUCCCAUUCCUCUGUAAGGCCCACUGCCACAACAUGCUACUUUCCCCUCCACAAAACCAUACUUUGAAGGGUGUUUAAUUCUGUCAGUUGUUGAUGUGUAGAAAUCAAAAACUGAAUAUUUAAAUCCCUGAAGCUCUUUUUGUAGCUUCUUGAGCACAUUAGAAAGUGCCUUAUUGUGCAGUUUUGCUAGAACAGUAGCUUCUUUCAUCAACCCACUUGGGCUGUUCUGUUCUCGUGCUCUCACCGAUGGUAUGCUACCCAAGUCCAACAAGCUUAAAAAUCCAAACUUCCUUCCACCAAUCUUGUAUAUUUCCUGAUGCAACAAACUGCAACAUAAGCUUCAAUGAACUUGUAAGAGUUAUAUGGUUUUUCUCAUUAUUUAAAUUAUAAUUAAACGUGUAUAAUCUGUGAUAAAAUUGAUCAUGAAAAGUGGAUUUAUAACAAUGUAUAUAGAUAAACUCAAAUGACAUGUUGUACUACUUUGAGCACAGUUGUGACGUUGCCGAUGACCAUCCCUACGUACUCUUCUUUGGAUAAAUAUUGAAACACACUGGAGUUUGUGACGAAAGGUUCCACAUAAUCAUUACCGCCAAUGCUGAAUAUGUAAAGGGCUCUGGACAAUAAUGUCCUAGUCUCUGUAUUACUUAGUUUCUGCCUUAGCUGCUUCUCCACUUUCUUGAAAAAACCAAGCUGAGUCUUAAGGUCUAUAACCUAUUUGUGAAGGAAAGGCAACCAAAGAAUUAAAAAUUGUCACCACCAAAAGGAAUUCAAAACCUGUGGAGUUGAUUGAACUUGAAAGCACAUAAGAAUCAAUUUCACCUUAUUUGAGAGUUCUUUAAGUAAUGAAAGAGUAAUGAAUGUAAAACUUUUAAAAUCUUUUCUGUUGUUUUCUUGUUUAGCCCGAGACUUACAAUCCUGAAGGCAAUUUCAAUACCAUUGAAGUAAAAAACAUUGAUAAAACCUUUAAAAUCUCCACUCUGUAUCUUUUAACCCCAAUAAAAGGAUUAAGAAAAAUGAAAAUUUGGAUGUUAAUGAAUGUAUAUAUUUAAUUACAUUCUAAAAUAACUCAUAAAUUAAGGUUAAAAAAUUAACCUUAAUUUACAUUCCACUCUCUAAGUCCCUCUAACAACUCCUAUGCAAUAUGUACGAACAUACCAUUCCUUGAUAAGUUUCAACCAAAGCACCAGCUCCCCCAGAAGCAAAAUUAGCUCCAUACGUAAAUUGAUGAUUCCCGGGCUGAAGAUAUGGUGGAAUUAGUGACAACUUUAAAUAAUCAGCAAUAAAAUCUGGAAUUAUUCGGCCAUCAGAGAACCUUCCAGUAGGAUACUUGAAGAAUGUCUCGCCAUAUGGCCAGAAAUUUGCCCGGCCGGCAGCAUUUUUGAGGUAGUUAUUAUUUCCAGAAUCAAAUAGUGAAUCUCCGAAGAUAAACAGAGAAGCAUGCUUCUCCGGAGACUGUACAUGGCUUUGUAUGCUAAUUGGAAUGAGAAGACAUGAGCUGAAAAACAGGAAAUAAAAAGGGGAGCUUGAACUUGCCAUGUUUAGAUUGCUUCAGUUUCUGUUAUACUCUCAUGGAAUUCUUCCCAGCAUUUGGUAGAAAAGUCAGGAUUAG
rnacentral:misc_RNA from 1 species